CUCGUCCACCUCCUUCUCCAGCGACAGCAGCUGAGACUGCAGUUUACUGCGCAGCGCAGGCAGAGUGUCACGGAUGUGAUUCGUCAGUUGCUGAAAGAGUCGACGGAACGCCACUGAGACGGGGUCAUGAGGCAAAGGAACUAUACGGUGUGUGUGUGUGUGUGUGUGUGUGUACCUGGUUAAGUGUCUUCUGCAGGUACAGUGUGUGUGUGUGUGUGUACCUGGUUGAGUGUCUUCUGCAGGUACAGUGUGUGUGUGUGUGUGUGUGUGU